UCCCUGGUGGCUCAGACGUUAAAGCGUCUGCCUGCAAUGCAGGAGACCCUGGUUCGAUUCCUGGGUUGGAAA
rnacentral:tRNA from 1 species